AAGGAGUCUAACAUAUGUGCGAGUAUUUGGGUGGUAAACCCGAAUGCGUAAUGAAAGUGAACGUAGGAGUAAUUCGCAAGACGCACCAUCGACCGAUCUGGAUCUUUUGUGAUGGAUUUGAGUAAGAGCACAUAUGUUGGGACCCGAAAGAUGGUGAACUAUGCCUGAAUAGGGCGAAGCCAGAGGAAACUCUGGUGGAGGCUCGUAGCGAUUCUGACGUGCAAAUCGAUCGUCAAAUUUGGGUAUAGGGGCGAAAGACUAAUCGAACCAUCUAGUAGCUGGUUCCUGC
rnacentral:misc_RNA from 1 species